UUGGAAGUAUAAUAGUUGAAUCACCAAGUCAUUGGCUGACUUUUCCUAAGUCACCCAGUGAUAGAUACUAAGCCAUCACUGAAUUUGAGUUUUUGUCUUCUCUAAGAUAUUCCACCCACAAAAGGAAACAUAGAGAGGCAGGGAGUAAGUGGAGCCGAUGAAUCAUCAUCUUCUAGAAACAGCAAGAGUGGGUUUCACGAAGAAUGAAAAUGAGCCACUAUGGAAGUUACCAGAACCAAUUUUCCUUCCAUCAGGUGGGA